UAUCCUUGAAUCAUGGCUACCAAACAGUAACCAUGGACAACCAUUUCCACAUUUUACCCUCACUCUAGUUAGUUUAUUUAUAUACUUGUCCAGCUCUACAUGUUCUUGAACUGCAUAUCUAGUAAUAGUUUCUCUAAAUUACUUAACUUUUUCAAAAGCUAGACCAGUUUCCCAAAAAAUUAACUUACUAGUACGAUAAAAAACAACUUUAUUUUUAGUUAUUUUUGCCUCCCUACCUUUAGUACACUUCUUACAGGAUGUUGAAC
rnacentral:lncRNA from 1 species